GCCGGGCGCAGUGGUGUGUGCCUGUAGUCCCAGCUACUCGGGAGGCUGAGGUGGGAGGAUCGCUUGAGUCCAGGAGUUCUGGGCUGCAGUGCGCUAUGCCGAUCGGGUGUCCACACUAAGUUUGGCAUCAAUAUGGUGACCUCCCGGGAGCGGAGGACCACCGGGUUGCCUAAGGAGGGGUGAACCGGCCCAGGUUGGAAACAGAGCAGGUCAAAACUCCUGUGCUGAUCAGUGUAUACUUGGUACUGUUUUAAGCACUUCUCAACUAUUAACUCAUGUAAUUCU
rnacentral:SRP_RNA from 1 species